rnacentral:rRNA from 1 species
CACGUAGGGGGCGAGCGUUGUCCGGAUUUAUUGGGCGUAAAGAGCUCGUAGGCGGCUCAGUAAGUCGGGUGUGAAAACUCCAGGCUCAACCUGGAGACGCCACCUGAUACUGCUGUGGCUAGAGUCCGGUAGGGGAGCAUGGAAUUCCUGGUGUAGCGGUGAAAUGCGCAGAUAUCAGGAGGAACACCAGUGGCGAAGGCGACUCUUUGGUCUGUAACUGACGCUGAGGCGCGAAAGCGUGGGGAGCAAACAGG